GAUGAACGCUGGCGGCGUGCCUAAUACAUGCAAGUCGAGCGAACAGACGAGGAGCUUGCUCCUUUGACGUUAGCGGCGGACGGGUGAGUAACACGUGGAUAACCUACCUAUAAGACUGGGAUAACUUCGGGAAACCGGAGCUAAUACCGGAUAACAUGUUGAACCGCAUGGUUCAACAGUGAAAGACGGUCUUGCUGUCACUUAUAGAUGAAUCCGCGCCGCAUUAGCUAGUUGGUAAGGUAACGGCUUACCAAGGCAACGAUGCGUAGCCGACCUGAGAGGGUGAUCGGCCACACUGGAACUGAGACACGGUCCAGACUCCUACGGGAGGCAGCAGUAGGGAAUCUUCCGCAAUGGGCGAAAGCCUGACGGAGCAACGCCGCGUGAGUGAAGAAGGUCUUCGGAUCGUAAAACUCUGUUAUUAGGGAAGAACAAAUGUGUAAGUAACUAUGCACGUCUUGACGGUACCUAAUCAGAAAGCCACGGCUAACUACGUG
rnacentral:rRNA from 1 species